UCAAAAAAAUAUUAUUUUUAAUUUUAGAAAUAGAGUAUCAUGAAUAAAUUGACAAUGUUAAAUUUGAGUCAAGCAACCAUGGAAAAAAUAAUGUUGAUGAUGUUUGGUUAUUUAUGUGAUCAACAUGAAUAUUCAAAAUAAGUAAACAAACAAAGAAGUUUUUCUGAAUAUUUUGAUUAAAAUUCGCCAACAAAUAACUGCAUAAAAAGAGAAUACUAACUAAAUCAGGACUCGAACAUGAGGUCACACAAUCACAUCGUGAGUAUAUGCCAACAGUGCUACCAUGGUCGGCUAUUGAAAAACUAUACUCUAUAGUAAGAUGUACCAUUACGGGAUCUGUAAAGAAUCUGAAUCUGAAAAGAAUCUGAAUCUGAAUAAAUAUUAGCAAGGAUCAUACAUUUUUCUGGAUUCUCUCUAACAAAUAGGAGGAUAUAGGCAAGGGCAAAUAUUUUAAACAUAUGAGCAGAGUGACCUUUUUAUUAACAAACAGCACGUCAUUACGGAGUGGACAUAUUCAAAAUAUACAGCUCUGAGCGUGCAAGCUGAAACUGAGGUGAUCAAAUAACACCAGGAACAGAGUUAAACCAAGAAAAGUUCAACUUCAUCCAAAGUCUAUUGACUAAUGACAACGUACAAUCUCUAACGGAAAAAUGAUCUUUUUGGUUUUAAAUAAGCCCAAAAAUAGAGGCACGUCAUGUGUCAUCAAUAAACUCUGGGACCAUUGGACUUAUUAUGUAGGACAGGUGCAAGUCAGUUCUUGAAUUGUCAAAUCUAUAAUAGACGAGCUUUUGAAGAAGUAUAAUAUGCUGAACACAAUCGAAAGCUUUUGGCAAAUUGUAAGAUGUUGCCUGAGAGGGGAAACUGCACUCAAACUCUCCAAAAUCUUGCCACACAAGUCUUGGACCGUGAUAUCCGUUGAGUAUUCAUGUCUAAAGCCAUGUUAAUCUUCUAUUUGACUCUUUAAUCCUUUUUAUGUAUCGGUAUGAGUUUUGCAAUUUUAAGACAAUCGAGGAAAAUGCAAAAAUCUAUGAUAGAAUCAAUCAGUUCACGCAUCUGAGUAUAAGUCACUGAUAUUGAAAAAUCAAAGCUAGGAACUCAAUUACCAGUCAAAUAGGGGUUUCCGGAAGGUGGAGGAAGCAUUAGUUUUAAGGUAAUCGGAGCAUUAAUAAAUAUCUCAAUAAAAUUACAAGUAUUUAUUUGACUUGGUGACGUCUCUAUCACAUUAGUAAGCUUCAAUGACUUUCUACAUAGCUUGAGGAGGAUUAAGUACUAGCUUUAUUUAUAAAUGUAUCAUUUGACUCUAUUUUUUUUUUAAAAAAUUUCUGCUACACUCAGUUGAGUAGUUCCACACAGUUUCAGCAGGCACUAAGUAGGGAUAUUUCUAAUUAACCUGCUUUAAAGGCAAAAUUUAUCCCUCAUUUAUAUCAAAGAAUCAUUAAACUACUUUGAU
rnacentral:lncRNA from 1 species